rnacentral:rRNA from 1 species
GACGAACGCUGGCGGCGUGCCUAAUACAUGCAAGUCGAGCGGACGAAUCGAAAGCUUGCUUUUGAUUCGUUAGCGGCGGACGGGUGAGUAACACGUGGGCAACCUGCCCUGUAGACGGGGAUAACACCGAGAAAUCGGUGCUAAUACCGGAUAACACGAAAUGUCGCAUGACGUUUCGUUGAAAGACGGCGCAAGCUGCCGCUACAGGAUGGGCCCGCGGCGCAUUAGCUAGUUGGUGAGGUAACGGCUCACCAAGGCGACGAUACGUAGCCGACCUGAGAGGGUGAUCGGCCACACUGGGACUGAGACACGGCCCAGACUCCUACGGGAGGCAGCAGUAGGGAAUCUUCCGCAAUGGACGAAAGUCUGACGGAGCAACGCCGCGUGAGCGAAGAAGGCCUUCGGGUCGUAAAGCUCUGUUGUUAGGGAAGAACAAGUAACGCAGUAACUGGCGUUAACGCGACGGUACCUAACGAGAAAGCCACGGCUAACUACGUG